rnacentral:rRNA from 1 species
CGAGGAAUCUUCUACAAUGGGCGCAAGCCCGAUAGAGCAACGCCGCGUGGAGGACGACGGCCUUCGGGUUGUAAACUCCUUUCGGGGGGAUGAUACGGACAGUACCCCCAGAAGCAGCCCCGGCUAACUCUGUGCCAGCAGCCGCGGUAAGACAGAGGGGGCAAGCGUUGUCCGGAUUGACUGGGCGUACAGCGCGCGCAGGCGGGGGCGUAUGUGCCGUGUGGCAGUCGGGAGCUUAACUCCCGCCGGCCACGGUAGACAGCGGCCCUGGAGGCAGGGAGAGGGAUGUGGAAUACCCGGUGGAGCGGUGAAAUGCGUAGAGAUCGGGUGGAACACCAGGGGCGUAGGCGACAUCCUGGCCCUGGACCUGACGCUGAGGCGCGAGAGCGUGGGGAGCGAACCGGAUUAGAUACCCGGGUAGUCCACGCCGUAAACGAUGUGGACCCGGCGCUGGGGGGUGAUUGCGCCCUUCGGUGCCUGAGCUUACGCGAUGAGUCCACCGCCUGGGGACUACGGCCGCAA